rnacentral:rRNA from 1 species
GAUGAACGCUGGCGGCGUGCCUAAUACAUGCAAGUCGAGCGAACGGACGAGAAGCUUGCUUCUCUGAUGUUAGCGGCGGACGGGUGAGUAACACGUGGAUAACCUACCUAUAAGACUGGGAUAACUUCGGGAAACCGGAGCUAAUACCGGAUGAUAUUUUGAACCGCAUGGUUCAAAAGUGAAAGACGGUCUUGCUGUCACUUAUAGAUGGAUCCGCGCUGCAUUAGCUAGUUGGUAAGGUAACGGCUUACCAAGGCAACGAUGCAUAGACGACCUGAGAGGGUGAUCGGCCACACUGGAACUGAGACACGGUCCAGACUCCUACGGGAGGCAGCAGUAGGGAAUCUUCCGCAAUGGGCGAAAGCCUGACGGAGCAACACCGCGUGAGUGAUGAAGGUCUUCGGAUCGUAAAACUCUGUUAUUAGGGAAGAACAUAUGUGUAAGUAACUGUGCACAUCUUGACGGUACCUAAUCAGAAAGCCACGGCUAACUACGUG